CUGAGUUUGAUCCUGGCUCAGGACGAACGCUGGCGGCGUGCUUAACACAUGCAAGUCGAGCGAUGAAAUUCCUUCGGGGAUGGAUUAGCGGCGGACGGGUGAGUAACACGUGGGCAACCUGCCUCAAAGUGGGGGAUAGCCUUCCGAAAGGGAGAUUAAUACCGCAUAACAUUAGUAUUUCACAUGAAUUACUAAUUAAAGGAGUAAUCCGCUUUGAGAUGGGCCCGCGGCGCAUUAGCUAGUUGGUGAGGUAACGGCUCACCAAGGCCACGAUGCGUAGCCGACCUGAGAGGGUGAUCGGCCACAUUGGAACUGAGACACGGUCCAGACUCCUACGGGAGGCAGCAGUGGGGAAUAUUGCACAAUGGGCGAAAGCCUGAUGCAGCAACGCCGCGUGAGUGAUGAAGGCCUUCGGGUUGUAAAGCUCUGUCUUUAAGAACGGAUAAUAACGGUACCCAAAGGAGGAAGCCACGGC
rnacentral:rRNA from 1 species